UAAGUACCUAUAAGAACAGGUCAUGUGACCUAGUUUAGGUACUUAGUACCAUAAAAUUGUUUAUAUUAAAGUUAAGCUAUUGUAACAAUAAUUGUACCUG